AGAACGAACGCUGGCGGCAUGCCUAACACAUGCAAGUCGAACGAGACCUUCGGGUCUAGUGGCGCACGGGUGCGUAACGCGUGGGAAUCUGCCCUUAGGUACGGAAUAACUCAGGGAAACUUGUGCUAAUACCGUAUGAUGUCGAGAGACCAAAGAUUUAUCGCCUAGGGAUGAGCCCGCGUAGGAUUAGCUAGUUGGUGGGGUAAAGGCCUACCAAGGCUACGAUCCUUAGCUGGUCUGAGAGGAUGAUCAGCCACACUGGGACUGAGACACGGCCCAGACUCCUACGGGAGGCAGCAGUGGGGAAUAUUGGACAAUGGGCGAAAGCCUGAUCCAGCAAUGCCGCGUGAGUGAAGAAGGCCUUCGGGUUGUAAACUCUUUUCGGGGAUGAUAAUGACAGUACCUGGGAAUAAGGCUCGGCUAACUCUGUGCCAGCAGCCGC
rnacentral:rRNA from 1 species